AAGGGAUUUUGUUUUGAGAGCUAGUCCUUCCCUUGGAGCAUCCACAUCUAGAAGCCAAGGAAGGGCUACCGGUCUAUAUUGGAGCUUCCACAUCCAUGGCCUAACCACUAGUGCUUGCAGUGCAAUUGACAUGUCCAUAGUGCUGUGUCAUGUACUCGUCUUCCAUAGCCACUUAUGCCGAAUUGUUGUUUUUCUUGCAGUUACUUCUUACAGGAUUAACACGUGCCGCACAUAUAAUUCAAGCUCAGGUGGUGUGGCAUAUGGUCUUGUGAAGCAGUAUCUGAAACUGGAAAUCCAUCAGUGAAGAUCAUCAGUGUGCGACCGCAUAGAGUGCUAUUCUAUCAGGAUGGAAGAUCUUUCAGGCAGGAAAAGGAGAGGAAAGGGAAUCCUGAUCUGCUCUGCUGAAACCAUUGGCGGGCGAAUGCGGCAACGAACAUGAGCACCCUAGCUUGAGAUCACCAAGAGAGUGCUAUCCUAUCAAGUAAAUUUAGGACACCAUCAACCUCAACGUUGACAAUUUGCAAGACCAAUUGACAGUCCCUUCUCCUACCUGCGAGAAGCCAGAACAGAAGAAGUUCUGGGCAGGAAGAGAAGGAGAGGAAAGGGAUUCCUGCUCUGCUGAAACCAUUGCCAGGCGAAUGUGCAACAGCACUAUAUAUAGAGAUGUGUAAGGUGGGACAACCAGUUCUCUUGCAG